rnacentral:rRNA from 1 species
AGAGUUUGAUCAUGGCUCAGAACGAACGCUGGCGGCGUGCUUAAUACAUGCAAGUCGAACGUGAAUCCCGACUUCGGUUGGGAUGAAAGUGGCGAACGGGUGAGUAACACGUAAGUAAUCUGCCUUCAAGUUUGGGAUAACCCUGCCAACGCGGGGCUAAUACCGGAUGUGGUCCAGCUGACACAUGUUGGCUGGAUUAAAGGUCGCGAGGCCGCUUGGAGAUGAGCUUGCGGCCCAUUAGUUAGUUGGUGAGGUAACGGCCCACCAAGACGAAGAUGGGUAGCCGGCCUGAGAGGGUGUACGGCCACAUUGGGACUGAGAUACGGCCCAGACUCCUACGGGAGGCAGCAGUAGGGAAUUUUGCGCAAUGGACGGAAGUCUGACGCAGCAACGCCGCGUGAAGGAUGACGGCCUUCGGGUUGUAAACUUCUGUUGGAUGGGAAAAAAAGCCUAGGAAUAGGAAUUGAUGGUACCAUUCGAGUAAGCACCGGCUAACUACGUGCCAGCAGCCGCGGUAAU